rnacentral:rRNA from 1 species
GUUGUAGGGUCUUCACUGACUCAGUAACGAAGCUAACGCGUGAAGUUGACCACCUGGGGAGUACGGCCGCAAGGUUAAAACUCAAAGGAAUUGACGGGGACCCGCACAAGCGGUGGAUGAUGUGGUUUAAUUCGAUGCAACGCGAAAAACCUUACCCACCUUUGACAUGUACGGAAUCCUUUAGAGAUAGAGGAGUGCUCGAAAGAGAGCCGUAACACAGGUGCUGCAUGGCUGUCGUCAGCUCGUGUCGUGAGAUGUUGGGUUAAGUCCCGCAACGAGCGCAACCCUUGCCAUUAGUUGCUACGAAAGGGCACUCUAAUGGGACUGCCGGUGACAAACCGGAGGAAGGUGGGGAUGACGUCAAGUCCUCAUGGCCCUUAUAGGUGGGGCUACACACGUCAUACAAUGGCUGGUACAAAGGGUUGCCAACCCGCGAGGGGGAGCCAAUCCCACAAAGCCAGUCGUAGUCCGGAUCGCAGUCUGCAACUCGACUGCGUGAAGUCGGAAUCGCUAGUAAUCGUGGAUCAGAAUGUCACGGUGAAUACGUUCCCGGGUCUUGUACACACCGCCCGUCACACCAUGGGAGCGGGUUCUGCCAGAAGUAGGUAGCCUAACCGUAAGGAGGGCGCUUACCACGGCAGGGUUGGUGACUGGGGUGAAGUCGUAACAAAGGUAGCC